rnacentral:rRNA from 1 species
CCUACGGGAGGCAGCAGUGAGGAAUAUUGGUCAAUGGGCGGAAGCCUGAACCAGCCAAGUAGCGUGCGGGAUGAAGGCCCUACGGGUCGUAAACCGCUUUUGCACGGGGAUAACACCCUCCACUUGUGGAGGUCUGCAGGUACCGUGCGAAUAAGGGCCGGCUAAUUCCGUGCCAGCAGCCGCGGUAAUACGGAAGGCCCGAGCGUUAUCCGGAUUCAUUGGGCUUAAAGGGAGCGUAGGCGGGCGUUCAAGUCAGCUGUAAAAGCGCGCGGCUCAACCGCGCCCCGCAGUUGAAACUGGACGCCUUGAGUGCACAAGAGGCAGGCGGAAUUCGUGGUGUAGCGGUGAAAUGCAUAGAUAUCACGAGGAACCCCGAUUGCGAAGGCAGCCUGCCGGGGUGCGACUGACGCUGAGGCUCGAAGGUGCGGGUAUCAAACAGGAUUAGAUACCCGAGUAGUC